rnacentral:rRNA from 1 species
UGACGCGGGCUGGACCUCUCGGGGUUACAGCCUUGCUGAAUUAUUCACCCUUGUCUUUUGCGUACUUCUUGUUUCCUUGGUGGGUUCGCCCACCACUAGGACAAACAUAAACCUUUUGUAAUUGCAAUCAGCGUCAGUAACAAAUUAAUAAUUACAACUUUCAACAACGGAUCUCUUGGUUCUGGCAUCGAUGAAGAACGCAGCGAAAUGCGAUAAGUAGUGUGAAUUGCAGAAUUCAGUGAAUCAUCGAAUCUUUGAACGCACAUUGCGCCCUUUGGUAUUCCAAAGGGCAUGCCUGUUCGAGCGUCAUUUGUACCCUCAAGCUUUGCUUGGUGUUGGGCGUCUUGUCUCUAGCUUUGCUGGAGACUCGCCUUAAAGUAAUUGGCAGCCGGCCUACUGGUUUCGGAGCGCAGCACAAGUCGCACUCUCUAUCAGCAAAGGUCUAGCAUCCAUUAAGCCUUUUUUUCAACUUUUGACCUCGGAUCAGGUAGGGAUACCCGCUGAACUUAAGCAUAUCAAAGCCCGGGAGGAAA